GUGCUGGUGGGGUGAGGGGAGCGUGGCUUGCAGCUCAGUGCUUAUUUUUUAAUUCUCGGACCACAUAAGGAGCACCACCAUCCGUGCAGCUUGCUUCAAAGUCACAGCCCCUCACCAGCUGUGAGGUCACACCUCUCGGAAGGCAGUAGUCUACCUUAACCAACAGCUCUGAGAUGCUCAUCAGUGGGACCACAUCUGCAAUUUGGAGAGCUGCCACUGGUGUUCUGUGCUGUCCUGCUCCUUCCGGUGGCCCAAGAGAGGAUAUGAUUUUUAAAAAGUCGCUAGUUGGGCAACCUGAAAUGAGGACAAGUUUCACUUCAAGUUACCUGAAAGUGAACUUUCGCCUUUCCAAUUUGAUUCCUCCAACAUCUGUUGAAUGGCUCUCGGUGUAAGUCACUGUACUAGGCGGAAUAUGGAGGAGGAAAAUGCCUAGUCUCUGUUUCUGAUUAUUGAUAUAGUCUGUCUCCCUCCCUUCCCCUCCAUUCUCUCCCUUCCUCCCUCCUUCCUUGCCUCUCUCUCUUUCUUUCUUUUUUUUUUUUUUAAAGAUUUUAUUUUUUCCUUUUUCUCCCCAG
rnacentral:lncRNA from 1 species